AGUGGAUUGGAAGCGGUGCAAACUGUGAGUGUGAAAGAAUAGCGCCAAGAAAAGCCUUCUUGAUGAUGAAAACUAGGUACUCGUACCAUAAACCGACACAGGUGGGCAAGUUGAGAAUACGAAGGGGCGCGAGAUAACUCUCUCUAAGGAACUCGGCAAAAUGACCCCGUAACUUCGGGAGAAGGGGUGCCAUCGAAAGAUGGUUGCAGUGAAGAGGCCCAGGCGACUGUUUAGCAAAAACAUAGGUCUCUGCGAACUCGAAAGAGGAUGUAUAGGGGCUGACGCCUGCCAGUGCCGGAAGGUUAAGGAAGUUGGUCAGUCUUAGGAUGAAGCUAGCGACUGUAGCCCCGGUGAACGGCGGCCGUAACUAUAACGGUCCUAAGGUAGCGAAAUUCCUUGUCGGGUAAGUUCCGACCCGCACGAAAGGCGUAACGAUCUGGGCGCUGUCUCGGAGAGAGGCUCGGCGAAAUAGGAAUGUCUGUGAAGAUACGGACUACCUGCACUUGGACAGAAAGACCCUAUGAAGCUUUACUGUAGCUUGGAAUUGUGUUCGGGCUUUGCUUGCGCAGGAUAGGUGGGAGGCUUUGAAACCCGGACGCCAGUUCGGGUGGAGCCAUCCUUGAAAUACCACCCUGGUAUGUUUGAGGUUCUAACCCAGGCCCGUUAUCCGGGUCGGGGACAGUGUAUGGUGGGUAGUUUGACUGGGGCGGUCUCCUCCCAAAGAGUAACGGAGGAGCACGAAGGUACCCUCAGCGCGGUCGGACAUCGCGCAUUGAGUGCAAAGGCAUAAGGGUGCUUGACUGCGAGACAGACAAGUCGAGCAGGGUCGAAAGACGGUCUUAGUGAUCCGGUGGUUCUGAAUGGAAGGGCCAUCGCUCAACGGAUAAAAGGUACUCCGGGGAUAACAGGCUGAUUCCUCCCAAGAGUCCAUAUCGACGGAGGAGUUUGGCACCUCGAUGUCGGCUCAUCACAUCCUGGGGCUGUAGCCGGUCCCAAGGGUAUGGCUGUUCGCCAUUUAAAGUGGUACGCGAGCUGGGUUUAGAACGUCGUGAGACAGUUCGGUCCCUAUCUGCCGUGGGCGCUUGAGACUUGAAGGGAGCUGCUCCUAGUACGAGAGGACCGGAGUGGACGUACCCCUGGUGUUCCGGUUGUCACGCCAGUGGCAUUGCCGGGUAGCUAUGUACGGACGGGAUAACCGCUGAAAGCAUCUAAGCGGGAAGCCCCCCCUAAGAUGAGGUCUCACUGGACCCUUGAGGUCCCUGAAGGGCCGUGGAAGACUACCACGUUGAUAGGCUGGGUGUGGAAGUGCAGUAAUGUGCGAAGCUAACCAGUACUAAUUGCCCGUGAGGCUUGAC
rnacentral:rRNA from 1 species